UACGAAGGGGGCUAGCGUUGUUCGGAAUUACUGGGCGUAAAGCGCACGUAGGCGGAUUUGUUAGUCAGGGGUGAAAUCCCGGGGCUCAACCUCGGAACUGCCUUUGAUACUGCAAGUCUCGAGUCCGGAAGAGGUGAGUGGAAUUCCUAGUGUAGAGGUGAAAUUCGUAGAUAUUAGGAAGAACACCAGUGGCGAAGGCGGCUCACUGGCCCGGUACUGACGCUGAGACGCGAAAGCGUGGGGAGCAAACAGG
rnacentral:rRNA from 1 species